rnacentral:rRNA from 1 species
UUGGCCUACGGGGCGCAGCAGUAGGGAAUCUUCCACAAUGGGCGAAAGCCUGAUGGAGCAACGCCGCGUGGGUGAAGAAGGUCUUCGGAUCGUAAAACCCUGUUGUUAGAGCAGAAAGAGCGUGAGAGUAACUGUUCACGUUUCGACGGUAUCUAACAAGAAAGCCACGGCUAACUACGUGCCAGAAGCCGCGGUAAUACGUAGGUGGCAAGAGUUAUCAGGAUAUAUUGGGAGUAAAGGGAACGCAGGCGGUCUUUUAAGUCUGA